rnacentral:rRNA from 1 species
UACGUAGGGGGCUAGCGUUGUCCGGAAUCAUUGGGCGUAAAGAGCGUGUAGGCGGUCCGGUAAGUCCGCUGUGAAAGUCGGGGGCUCAACCCUCGAAUGCCGGUGGAUACUGUCGGGCUAGAGUGCGGAAGAGGCGAGUGGAAUUCCUGGUGUAGCGGUGAAAUGCGCAGAUAUCAGGAGGAACACCGGUGGCGAAGGCGGGUCUCUGGGCCGAUACUGACGCUGGAGGAGCGAAAGCGUGGGGAGCGAACAGG